UUUAAUCCCUUGGUCUGGACCUCUGUGGGUUUCAAACGCUCCUGUCAAACUGCAGCCAAUUUAUUAUCUUACCCACGCUGGGAGGAUGCUGGUGAGAGAGAUGGCAAUGUUAAACACACAGAUUUUCACAAUGGAGCAGCCCAUUAUCAUCAGUUUCACUCCUGCUAGGAGGAUGGUAUGGGAGGAACUGUCCUCUCAAAAUGAACAGUAUGUGGAUGAGGAGGUUGGGCACCGGUCCUGUCUGGCUUUAAUCCCUUGGUCUGGACCCUUGUGUGUUCCUAUCUUU